CCUUACCUAAGCUUGACAUCCCAAUGACAUCUCCUUAAUCGGAGAGUUCCCUUCGGGGACAUUGGUGACAGGUGGUGCAUGGUUGUCGUCAGCUCGUGUCGUGGGAUGUUGGGUUAAGUCCCGCAACGAGCGCAACCCUUGUCUUUAGUUGCCAUCAUUAAGUUGGGCACUCUAGAGAGACUGCCAGGGAUAACCUGGAGGAAGGUGGGGAGGACGUCAAAUCAUCAUGCCCCUUAUGCUUAGGGCUACACACGUGCUACAAUGGGUAGUACAGAGGGUUGCCAAGCCGUAAGGUGGAGCUAAUCCCUUAAAGCUACUCUCAGUUCGGAUUGUAGGCUG
rnacentral:rRNA from 1 species